rnacentral:rRNA from 1 species
AGCGUUUGUGACGGUACCUGCAGAAGAAGCGCCGGCCAACUACGUGCCAGCAGCCGCGGUAAUACGUAGGGCGCAAGCGUUGUCCGGAUUCAUUGGGCGUAAAGGGCUCGUAGGCGGUUUGGUAAGUCGGGUGUGAAAACUCAGGGCUCAACUCUGAGACGCCACUCGAUACUGCCACGACUAGAGUCCGGUAGGGGAGUGUAGAAUUCCUGGUGUAGCGGUGAAAUGCGCAGAUAUCAGGAGGAAUACCGAUAGCGAAGGCAGCACUCUGGGCCGGUACUGACGCUGAGGAGCGAAAGCGUGGGGAGCAAACAGGAUUAGAUACCCUGGUAGUCCACGCCGUAAACGUUGGGCACUAGGUGUGGGUCCCAUCCAACGGGAUCCGUGCCGUAGCUAACGCAUUAAGUGCCCCGCCUGGGGAGUACGGCCGCAAGGCUAAAACUCAAAGGAAUUGACGGGGGCCYGCACAAGCGGCGGAGCAUGUUGCUUAAUUCGAGGCAACGCGAAGAAYCUUAYCUGGGUUUGAYAUGUUGGGGACAGCUGCAGAGAUGCGGCCUCUUUAUGGUCCYAUCACAGGUGGUGCGUGGCUGUCGUCAGCUCGUGUCGUGAGAUGUUGGGUUAAGUCCYGCAGCGAGCGCAACYCUUGUUCGAUGUUGCCA